rnacentral:lncRNA from 1 species
UUGUGUACUCCAGCGACAAGAAGCAAUAGAUUGCCUUCCUUAAAAGAAAGAGAGAACAAAGAGACAAGGAUAGGCCAUAAGGCAGUUUUCGUCAGGUCGAGUCACAAGGCAGUUCCUGCUAGACUAUUUGGGCAUUGGUCCCACUAAACAAGGCUACAAGGCAGCUUUCGCUAGGUCGGAUCACAAGGCGGUUCCUGCGAGACUAUUUGGGCGUUGAUCCCACUAAAUAAGGCCACAAGGUAGUUUUUGCUAGACUAGAUGACAAGGUGGUUCUCCCUAAA